GGGCGGGGACCCUCGGAAGCCAGCUGGGUGGCGAUCGCUUGUCUGCCUUGGCAGGCCCCUUGUGCAGUCUUUUCCCGGCGUGAGCGUGCAGGGAUUGAAAAGGAAUGCUUUAUGGUUCAGCAGAGAGCCACCACGCAGGAUGCACUGGGACCUGAGAACCGUCGGGCAGUCCCACGAGCUCUUUCAUGACCAGCUCCAACCGACAAGUACACGCCCCUUCGCACUCCACUAGCUAGUAAGCUGAGCUACAAGGUGUGCCAGGCACCCAGGACGCCGAUUCACCGCUUCAGAGCCCUCUUUCUUCCAUUCACUUACCUGUCUAGUCAAACACCCAUCAGACCUUUGCCAGGUGUCCAGCCUGGGCACUACGUUUCAGAAAAUGAUGCACAUAGAAUCCCUAACUGAAAGGAGAUCGCAGCUCAUUUGGUACAAAGUGCUUUUAGCCUGGGUAAGGAGCUGGAGAGAUGUGAAAAUGUGGAAAGCAAGCCUAAGUCGCAGUGUGGCCUAUGCCUGAGAGCCAUCUUCAGUGCCCCCUUGUGGCUGUAUCUGGGAACCACAGACAGAAUCAUGGAACUGACCAUCUUCAGUCUCAAAGUGCUGCCCUCACCACUACACCCAGGGGCAGGUGGUCUUCGGGGGAAAGGCGGUUCCAGUUCCUUCUCCCAAGGUAACAACUCCCAUCCCAAGGCAAUGUUCACAGAACCUAUCAGAGUCCCCCCUGCCCUAUGCACAGCUUAAGACCAGGGUGGUCUCAGCUCUGAUCAGGCCACUGAGGGCAUCUGUCUGAGAUUUGGGACCCAGUUAUUGUCCCUGUUCUUCUUAGGCAGAUGGCGGAGUUCCCCAGUACACAGAAGGUGCUCACUCUUCACAAAAAGCAGUGCUUGAGAAUAACAGCCUACCUUGGUGGAGUAGCUUCGUUAGGGCCAGGGCUUGACUUGAAGCCAGAGACUGAGGUUGCAGUCCAGCCUUGGGUCAGCCUCAGGCUGGGGCUGGGGUGAUGCUGAGACCCUCACCAGAAAAAAGGCCUUUACCCCAUCCGAAAGGAAAUGGCUAUCCUCUGACCUGAGCACUCUAGCCUGAGGCCUGCCUGGCGCUAGAAGCCAGCCUCUGUUGUCCCCUCCCAGCACUCCUCCCACUGCUCUGCCUUUCUGCCCACAUAGAAACUCUGGAGACACCAGCUCCCCACCCUUCCAAGCUAAGCCCCACUGCUGUCUCUGCCUCCUCCAUCUUUCAAACCGGCAAUGUUUUUCCAAUCAGGCCUCCCUAUCCUUCCCCUACUGCUCUGCCCUUCACUGCCUUCCUUUCCUGGCGACUCUCAGCCGCCCUUCAAGGCCCAGCUCAGGCGUUCUUUCCUCAGUGACGCACCCCCGGGCAGGCUGGGGCUUCUGGCACAGCUCUGGCCACCCUGCGUAUCUUCAGCUGUUCCCAAUGUUUGUCUCUGCUCCCAAGUAGCUCUCUCACAGUUUCUGGCACAGAGGAGUUGGCCCUGAGGGGGAUGAACAGCAAGGACAGGCAGGACAGUUCUGGCAGUAAGGAAGUUAGAACAAGGUCCUUUGGUCUCGGCUAGGAAGGGUUCCCAGGUGCUUAGUACUCACUGAACAGAAAGGAAUUAGAAAAGAGGUGGCAUCUUGUAAUCGCUAGGGUGACAGCAGGCCAGGCCUCUGCCUUUUUGGUAGAGCUGAGGCCAGGGGCAGGGAACACAGCUUGAGUGACCCAUAAGGAGCCUUCCAGCUCAGCCACCCAAGGGCCCCCCAGCUGGACAGGAGCCCUUUACCACAUGGUAGGCAUCAUGUCAAGUGGCUCCCAAUGACCCCUGCCCCCUGGCAUCCAUUCCCUGGUGUAAUCCCCUCCCGUCCAGUGGGAGCUGGACCGAGCAAUGUUCAUUUAAUGAACAGAAUAUGGCAAAAGUGACAGGAUAUCACUUCCCAGGUUAGGUUAUAAGGGCCUGGGACUUCCGUCUUGCUCGCACACUUCACUCCACUCACUGGCUCUUCUUGCUAAGUAAGCUGGUGUGCCGUGAGCUACCCCAUGGAAAGGCCCAUGUGGCAAGGAACUGAAAGUGGCCUCUGUCAACAGCCAGUGAGGAAGUCAAUCCUGCGAACAACUGCAGGAACGGCCUUGGGAGUGGAUCCUUCCUCAGCCCGGCUCCAAGACAACUGCAGCCCUGUGAGAAACCCUGAGUGGAGGACCAAGCCAAGCCUCAAAUCGUGACUUGGAACUGGGAGACAACAGAUGCUGUUGGAAGCCACUGAGCUCUGAAGUAGUUUGUUACACAGUGACAGGUAACUUACACACCAUGGCAGGGUCAUGUGG
rnacentral:lncRNA from 1 species